GUUCCGUUCUAAAACAAUUUAUAAUAUUCUUUCUAUUUUCUAUCUCUUCAUUACGCCAUAGCAAUCAUCCAAUUGUAUACGUUAGUCCUUCUCCAAUUGUCGUCUAUUUGCAAUGCACACAGUGAUAUAAUAUUUACACUGCCAGGAGUGCUUAGACUCUUAAUUUAAUUUGCCCGCAUUAUAUACUGUUAGACUCUCCUUGUGUGUGACCGUCAUUACUCUCCUGAUUUAAAAUAUACACUUAUUAGACUACUUGAUUUAAUAUCUCUGCAAAGUGCAGCCAUUAAGACUCUUUGAACAUAGUCAUCAGGUUACGCAGAUUUUAUAUUUAAGUGACUUGCAUUUCUUAGGCCCCUGAGUUUAUAUUCACACAAUGUGUGGUUGUUAGACCCCCUGACUUCACAUAUACGCAAUAGGCAGUCAUUAGAUCCCUGACUUUACAUUUACGUAAUAGGCAGUCAUUAGACCCCCUGACUUCACAUAUGCGCAAUAUUAUUAUUAUUGCCAUUUAUAUAGUGCCAACAGAUUCCGCAGCGCUUAUACACGGUCAUUAAACCCCCUGACUUUACAAUGACGUAAUAGGCAGUCAUUAGACCCCCUGACUUUACAUUUACGUAAUAGGCAGUCAUUAGACCCUCUAAAUUUAUAUUUACGCAAUAGGCAGUCAUUAGACCCCCUGACUUUACAUUUACGCAAUAUGCAGUCAUUAGAUCCCCCUGACUUUACAUUUACACAAUAGGCAGUCAUUAGAUCCCCCUGACUUUACAUUUACACAAUAGGCAGUCAUUAGAUCCCCCUGACUUUACAUUUACACAAUAGGCAGUCAUUAGAUCCCCUGACUUUACAUUUACACAAUAGGCAGUCAUUAGAUUCCUGACUUUACAUUUAUGCAAUAGACUUUGUUUACGUUAGGCAUUUAUUAGGCUCCCUGCUUUUAUAUUUAUACAGCGUGCAGUCAGUUGGAUUUUGCUUGAUUCUCCUAAAUCUAAUUUCUAUACAAUGUGCCUUCAUUAGCGCUUCUUUGUAUAAUCCAGGCGCAACAUACAACCGAUGCAGUAAUAAAGUAGGUGGGUUUUCUCGUGGGUACUUUUUUAAUAUCUGAUAAAAGCUUAGGUUUGGGGUGAAUGGCCUUGGCAAAAUCACUUAAAUAAAUCCCCAGACAUGCUUAGUUUAAAAACACUUUGACAUACACGUCCCUGGUCAGUACACUUUAGAGCUGGAUUCAGCAGUCUUUCUACUCUAUGAAUAGAAUAUCAUACAUUUUACUGAGUGAAAUGAGUCGGGAAUAUUGAACAGAGUUUGGAUAUUAAACAUUAUAACGAGAUUUCCUAAAUUAAAUUUUUUAAUGUUCAUACUUGCUCCAAGUACAGUCUAGUAUGUCAUGUUCUCAUAUCCCUUAAUUGUCCAAAUUUAUAUAUAUACAUUCACCCUAAUACCUGGUAAUAUAAUGACUGCCACAUCCAUGGGCCUAUGAUGUCUUACUGUAUAUUCAUUAUUACAGCUUCUAUGUAACAAUACAUUAAGCAUUAAUAGGAAGUCCAGGUAAUUGAGUGACUCCUAGCUCCCAAAUCCUGCAGUGCAUUCUAUUCGGCUCCCCUCUUUUUUUAUAAUUUAGACCAUUGCAAACCCCUCCUUUUCUGUAAUUGAGACUGUUACAACCUCUGUUUUUUCCCUUUCACCUAAUUACUAUGAAGAUCCCCGCUUUAAAUAACUUUAGUUGUUCAAAAACAAAAAUGUCCAAUCUGUAGUUUUGGUUAUUAUAAAAUCAAAAUUUUUCAGUUUGAUUGUCACUUUCUUUAAUUUAGGAUAGGAUGAGAUCCCCCUAUUCUGUAAUGUAGGAUAGGAUGUGAUUCCCCCCAUUCUGUAAUGUAGGAUAGGAUGUGAUUUCCCCCCCAUUCUGUAAUGUAGGAUAGGAUGUGAUUCCCCCCUCAUUCUGUAAUGUAGGAUAGGAUGUGAUUCCCCCCUCAUUCUGUAAUGUAGGAUAGGAUGUGAUUCCCCCCAUUCUGUAAUGUAGGAUAGGAUGUGAUUCCCCCCCCAUUCUGUAAUGUAGGAUAGGAUGAGAUCCCCCUAUUCUGUAAUGUAGGAUAGGAUGUGAUUCCCCCCAUUCUGUAAUGUAGGAUAGGAUGUGAUUCCCCCCAUUCUGUAAUGUAGGAUAGGAUGUGAUUCCCCCCAUUCUGUAAUGUAGGAUAGGAUGUGAUUCCCCCCCAUUCUGUAAUGUAGGAUAGGAUGUGAUUCCCCCCAUUCUGUAAUGUAGGAUAGGAUGUGAUUCCCCCCCAUUCUGUAAUGUAGGAUAGGAUGUGAUUCCCACCAUUCUGUAAUGUAGGAUAGGAUGUGAUAUCCUCCAUUCUCUAACUUAGGAUAGAUGGGAUCCCUUUAUUCUGUAAUGUAAGAUUGGAUGUGAUUCCCCCUCAUUCUGUAAUGCAGGAUAGUAUGAUAUCCCCCCAUUCUGAAAUGUAGGACAGGAUAUGAUCUUACCCAAGAUUGGAUGUGAUUCCCCCUCAUUCUGUAAUGCAUGAUAGUGUGAUAACCCCCC